rnacentral:rRNA from 1 species
AUUGAACGCUGGCGGCAUGCUUUACACAUGCAAGUCGAACGGCAGCGCGGGGCAACCUGGCGGCGAGUGGCGAACGGGUGAGUAAUAUAUCGGAACGUACCCAAGAGUGGGGGAUAACGUAGCGAAAGUUACGCUAAUACCGCAUACGAUCUAAGGAUGAAAGUGGGGGAUCGCAAGACCUCGUGCUCCUGGAGCGGCCGAUAUCUGAUUAGCUAGUUGGUGAGGUAAAGGCUCACCAAGGCGACGAUCAGUAGCUGGUCUGAGAGGACGACCAGCCACACUGGAACUGAGACACGGCCCAGACUCCUACGGGAGGCAGCAGUGGGGAAUUUUGGACAAUGGGCGCAAGCCUGAUCCAGCAAUGCCGCGUGAGUGAAGAAGGCCUUCGGGUUGUAAAGCUCUUUUGUCAGGGAAGAAACGGUAGAGGCUAAUAUCCUUUGCUAAUGACGGUACCUGAAGAAUAAGCACCGGCUAACUACGUGCCAGCAGCCGCGGUAAUACGUAGGGUGCAAGCGUUAAUCGGAAUUACUGGGCGUAAAGCGUGCGCAGGCGGUUUUGUAAGUCUGUCGUGAAAGCCCCGGGCUCAACCUGGGAAUUGCGAUGGAGACUGCAAGGCUUGAAUCUGGCAGAGGGGGGUAGAAUUCCACGUGUAGCAGUGAAAUGCGUAGAGAUGUGGAGGAACACCGAUGGCGAAGGCAGCCCCCUGGGUCAAGAUUGACGCUCAUGCACGAAAGCGUGGGGAGCAAACAGGAUUAGAUACCCUGGUAGUCCACGCCCUAAACGAUGUCUACUAGUUGUCGGGUUUUAAUUAACUUGGUAACGCAGCUAACGCGUGAAGUAGACCGCCUGGGGAGUACGGUCGCAAGAUUAAAACUCAAAGGAAUUGACGGGGACCCGCACAAGCGGUGGAUGAUGUGGAUUAAUUCGAUGCAACGCGAAAAACCUUACCUACCCUUGACAUGUCAGGAAGUCUGGAGAGAUCUGGAUGUGCCCGAAAGGGAACCUGAACACAGGUGCUGCAUGGCUGUCGUCAGCUCGUGUCGUGAGAUGUUGGGUUAAGUCCCGCAACGAGCGCAACCCUUGUCAUUAGUUGCUACGCAAGAGCACUCUAAUGAGACUGCCGGUGACAAACCGGAGGAAGGUGGGGAUGACGUCAAGUCCUCAUGGCCCUUAUGGGUAGGGCUUCACACGUCAUACAAUGGUACAUACAGAGGGCCGCCAACCCGCGAGGGGGAGCUAAUCCCAGAAAGUGUAUCGUAGUCCGGAUCGCAGUCUGCAACUCGACUGCGUGAAGUUGGAAUCGCUAGUAAUCGCGGAUCAGCAUGUCGCGGUGAAUACGUUCCCGGGUCU